ensembl:snRNA U6 U6 spliceosomal RNA
GUACUCAUUUUGACAGCACAUAUACUAAAAUUGGAACAAUACAGGGAAGAUUAUCAUGGACCUUAAAAAAGGAUUACAUGUAAAUUUGUAAAGCAUUUCAUUUUUUU